rnacentral:rRNA from 1 species
UCAGUCGACUCCUACGGGGAGGCAGCAGUGGGGAAUAUUGCACAAUGGGCGCAAGCCUGAUGCAGCCAUGCCGCGUGUAUGAAGAAGGCCUUCGGGUUGUAAAGUACUUUCAGCAGUGAGGAAGGUGGGUAUGUUAAUAGCAUAUUCAUUUGACGUUAGCUGCAGAAGAAGCACCGGCUAACUCCGUGCCAGCAGCCGCGGUAAUACGGAGGGUGCGAGCGUUAAUCGGAAUUACUGGGCGUAAAGCGCAUGCAGGUGGUUUGUUAAGUCAGAUGUGAAAGACCCGGGGCUCAACCUCGGAAUUGCAUUUGAAACUGGCAAACUAGAGUACUGUAGAGGGGGGUAGGAAUUUCAGGUGUAGCGGUGAAAUGCGUAGAGAUCUGAAGGAAUACCGGUGGCGAAGGCGGCCCCCUGGACAGAUACUGACACUCAGAUGCGAAAGCGUGGGGAGCAAACAGGAUUAGAUACCCUGGUAG